GAUGUGAAGGCUACCUUUACUUCCGAAGAUGAUGCUACGGACAGUCCAAGGCCAAGGACAGCUUUGGAUGCACUGAAGGAAGCUGCUGGAACUGAUUCUAAGUAUGCUGCUGCAGGGGAAGCAUUGCUAGCUCAGAAUGUGAUUGCUGCUGAACUUGCCAAGAAGUAUGGACUGGAGAAAGAUGAUCAGGACAAGCCUGGAACUUGAUUUUCUCACCUUUUUAAUGAUUAAGGGGGAGGAAAUUAGGAAAUUAAUAAUACUUUACUUAAGUGUGUUUAAUCUGCUUAAGUACAUUGGCCC
rnacentral:lncRNA from 1 species